GUCCUUGUAGCUUAAAGCCUAAAGCAUGGCACUGAAGAUGCCAAGAUGGGUUCCAACCUUCCCCAUGGAC
rnacentral:tRNA from 1 species